rnacentral:rRNA from 1 species
ACUCAAAGGAAUAGACGGGGGCCCGCACAAGCGGUGGAGCAUGUGGAUUAAUUCGUCACUAACCGAAGAACCUUACCCAGGCUUGACAUCCUUGGAACCCUGCGGAAACGUGGGGGUGCCCUCGGGAGCCAAGAGACAGGUGUUGCAUGGCUGUCGUCAGCUCGUGUCGUGAGAUGUUGGGUUAAGUCCCGCAACGAGCGCAACCCUCACCGUAUGUUGCCAGCGUAAAGUCGGGAACUCUUACGGAACUGCCCGUGCAAGCGGGAGGAAGGUGGGGAUGACGUCAAGUCGGCAUGGCCCUUACGCCUGGGGCUUCACACAUGCUACAAUGGACAGUAACAGAGGGCCGCGAGACCGCGAGGUGGAGCAAAUCCCAAAAAUCUGUCCUCAGUUCGGAUUGUAGGCUGCAACUCGCCUACAUGAAGCCGGAAUCGCUAGUAACCGCAGGUCAGCUAAACUGCGGUGAAUACGUUCCCGGGCCUUGCACACACCGCCCGU